GACGAACCGUACGAACGUUAUUCGGAAUCACUGGGCUUAAAGGGUGCGUAGGCGGCGCAGAAAGUUGGGUGUGAAAUCCCUCGGCUUAACCGAGGAAUUGCGCCCAAAACUACUGUGCUCGAGGGAGGUAGAGGUGAGCGGAACUUAGGGUGGAGCGGUGAAAUGCGUUGAUAUCCUAAGGAACACCGGUGGCGAAAGCGGCUCACGUGGACCUUCUUCCUGACGCUGAGGCACGAAAGGCUAGGGUAGCAAACGGG
rnacentral:rRNA from 1 species